rnacentral:rRNA from 1 species
GACAGAGGUGCCAAGCGUUAGGCGGAAUCACUGGGCUUAAAGCGUGUGUAGGUGGAUUUGUAAGUACCUUGUGAAAUCUCACGGCUCAACCGUGGAACUGCUCGGUAUACUGCGAAUCUUGAGCCACUUAGGGGCUACCGGAACAAAUGGUGGAGCGGUGAAAUGCGUAGAUAUCAUUUGGAACGCCAAUGGUGAAAACAGGUAGCUGGGAGUGUGCUGACACUGAGACACGAAAGCCAGGGGAGCGAACGGG